UGAGGCCACUUACACCACACCAGGGCCUUAGUUGCUAUUGAGGCCACCUACACCACACCAGGGCAUUAGUUGCUAUUGAGGCCAAUUACACCACACCAGGGCCUUAGUUGCUAUUGAGGCCACGUACACCACACCAGGGCCUGUGGCUGCUGGCUGAGGCCACUUACACCACACCAGGGCCUGUGGCUGCUGGCUGAGGCCACUUACACCACACCAGGGCCUGUGGCUCUUGCUCAGGCCACUUACACCACACCAGGGCCUGUGGCUCUUGCUCAGGCCACUUACACCACACCAGGGCCUGUGGCUGCUGGCUGAGGCCACUUACACCACACCAGGGCAUUAGUUGC
ensembl:lncRNA